rnacentral:lncRNA from 1 species
GGUGUGUCAAAUUCAUUUCUAACGUUAGAUGAAAUGCUCAGCUAAUUUCACAAAUAUACAAUGGUGGAACAAAAAAAUCAGUCCAUUGUAACAUAAGCUUCGAUAUAUGUGUGUAAAAUAUGUUUUGAUCCAUGUGGUUUGGUCCUAAAACACUUGGCACCUUAUGAGUAUAUCUUUAACACUUUACUACCCUAUGCUGUG